GGAUUCUUAGCUGAGUUGGUUACAGCAUUCGGAUCAUAACCGAAAGAUUCUGUGUCCGAGUCCCAGAGAAUCCA
rnacentral:tRNA from 2 species